UGGGGGAUAUUGCACAAUGGGCGAAAGCCUGAUGCAGCGACGCCGCGUGGGGGAUGAAGGCUUUCGGGUUGUAAACCUCUUUCGCUAUCGAACAAGGCCCGCUUAGGGUGGGUUGAGGGUAGGUGGAGAAGAAGCCCCGGCUAACUACGUGCCAGCAGCCGCGGUAAUACGUAGGGGGCUAGCGUUGUCCGGAAUCACUGGGCGUAAAGGGUUCGCAGGCGGAAAUGCAAGUCAGGUGUAAAAGGCAGUAGCUUAACUACUGUAAGCAUUUGAAACUGCAUAUCUUGAGAAGAGUAGAGGUAAGUGGAAUUUUUAGUGUAGCGGUGAAAUGCAUAGAUAUUAAAAAGAAUACCUGUGGCGAAGGCGACUUACUGGGCUCAUUCUGACGCUGAGGAACGAAAGCGUGGGUAGCAAACAGG
rnacentral:rRNA from 1 species